GACGAACGCUGGCGGCGUGCUUAACACAUGCAAGUCGAACGGAAAGGCCCUGCUUUUGUGGGGUGCUCGAGUGGCGAACGGGUGAGUAACACGUGAGUAACCUGCCCUUGACUUUGGGAUAACUUCAGGAAACUGGGGCUAAUACCGGAUAGGAGCUCCUGCUGCAUGGGGGGGGUUGGAAAGUUUCGGCGGUUGGGGAUGGACUCGCGGCUUAUCAGCUUGUUGGGGGGGGAGUGGCCUACCAAGGCUUUGGUGGGUAGCCGGCCUGAGAGGGUGACCGGCCACAUUGGGCCUGAGAUACGGCCCAGACUCCUACGGGAGGCAGCAGUGGGGAAUAUUGCACAAUGGGCGGAAGCCUGAUGCAGCAACGCCGCGUGCGGGAUGACGGCCUUCGGGUUGUAAACCGCUUUCGCCUGUGACGAAGCGUGAGUGACGGUAAUGGGUAAAGAAGCACCGGCUAACUACGUG
rnacentral:rRNA from 1 species